rnacentral:rRNA from 1 species
UGAAUCGCUAGUAAUCGCGGAUCAGCACGCCGCGGUGAAUACGUUCCCGGGCCUUGUACACACCGCCCGUCACACCAUGAGAGUUUGUAACACCCGAAGCCGGUGGCGUAACCCUUUUAGGGAGCGAGCCGUCUAAGGUGGGACAAAUGAUUAGGGUGAAGUCGUAACAAGGUAGCCGUAGGAGAACCUGCGGCUGGAUCACCUCCUUUCUAAGG